rnacentral:rRNA from 1 species
UACGUAGGGGGCAAGCGUUGUCCGGAUUUAUUGGGCGUAAAGAGCGUGUAGGCGGUCAGGUAGGUCGGUUGUGAAAACUGGAGGCUCAACCUUCAGAGGUCGACCGAAACCCCCUGGCUAGAGUCCGGGAGAGGAGAGUGGAAUUCCUGGUGUAGCGGUGAAAUGCGCAGAUAUCAGGAAGAACACCCGUGGCGAAAGCGGCUCUCUGGAACGGUACUGACGCUGAGACGCGCAAGCGUGGGGAGCGAACAGG